UGACAAACCGAUAUUGUGUUCAUUGAAAAAUUGUGAAAAAUAUUGGAAAAAUUUUAAUUUAAAACCAUCAAAUCAAUCACGUAUAUUGUGGAAAUUAUUUUUCAAAUUCAUUUGUCUUAAGCCAGCAACAAGUGUAUUGUGAUAGUGACACUUUAUGAGCGGGAAAUUUUCUCACUUUGAUUAAUUACAAUGACAAGCAAUGCUAAGAAAACGCAAAGGGGUUGAUAUGAGCCGCAGUACAAGCAGAGCUCGAAAGUUGCAAAAUAGCAGAUCCGAAAGAACAGAAGAACAAAUCCAGCUACAAAAUACUGAUGCACGUGUCAGAAUGACGCGAUUGCAUCAAGAAGAGCCAGAAGAUACACGAGAUGAACGCAAUGAAGUCAGAAGAUUAGAACAACGACAAUCACGCCGUUUCACAGUCAAUAGACGAAGAACAAAUAACCAACAACGACAACAGGUACAUCGAGCAUUUACCACCAGCUCCUUUACGCUCCUUAGUUUCUGGGAUUGGAAAUGAUUCGAAGCACUUCUUGACCAACAUUCAGAAAUAUAACAACUGUGUUCAGAUGCCAUCAUUUGGUGCUACUCAUAUUAUACAAGCCAAUUUCAUGCCCACUUUUAAGAUACAAGGACAAUUUUAUCACUUACUGGGAACUCUGAUACCACUAUCUGAUGCAGAUCAUCAAUUUUUACAAAUUUAUUUUAUGGGCAAUUCAGAUGCGGAAAUUAAUAUUCGUUGUGCUCACAAACCAACAGUAAAGAGAACCAUUGUCCAACAAUUACAAAUGUUUCUUCAUCAGAAUAACAAUUUAGUAAACAUGAUCAAAAUAGCAUUGGAUCGGAUGCCAUCUGAUAGCCAUAAUACUGGAAGACUGGCUGUGAAAAGACUGAUGAAUAACGUCAUUGAGACAACAAUCAUAAAAGGAAAAUACAAAGGAGAGGAUGUCUUGAUCCCGCGGAUACCAAUGAUUACAACGGACACACCAUUCGAUUUUAAACGCUUACAAUUUCCAGUACAUCUGGAUUUUGCGAUGACUAUAAAUAAAUCGGAAGGACAAUC